rnacentral:rRNA from 1 species
AACGAACGCUGGCGGCGUGCCUAACACAUGCAAGUCGAACGUGAUUGGGGAGCUUGCUCCCCAUGAAAGUGGCGCACGGGUGAGUAACGCGUAGAUAAUCUACCUGAUGGUCCGGGAUAACACUUCGAAAGGGGUGCUAAUACCGGAUAAGCCCACGAGGUCUUUGGACCAUGCGGGAAAAGGGGGGGACCUUUUAGGCCUUCCGCCAUCAGAUGAGUCUGCGUACCACUAGCUAGUUGGUAGGGUAAAGGCCUACCAAGGCGACGAUGGUUAGCUGGUCUGAGAGGAUGAUCAGCCACACUGGAACUGAGACACGGUCCAGACGCCGACGGGAGGCAGCAGUGGGGAAUUUUGCGCAAUGGGGGAAACCCUGACGCAGCAACGCCGCGUGAGUGAUGAAGGCUCUUGGGUCGUAAAGCUCUGACAGAGGGAAAGAAAUGCAUGGUGGCUAAUAUCCAUUGUGCUUGACGGUACCCUCAAAGGAAGCACCGGCUAACUCCGUGCCAGCCGCCGCCGUAACAC